rnacentral:lncRNA from 1 species
GGACUUAAAUUAGCCUCAGAUUCCACCUACAUAUUAGCACAAUUCAUAAUGGGCACCCAAUCAAUCACAACAGAUCGAAAAUACCGAUCAAUCGACCGAGUCGAUUACAUGUCAUUCGGACCAUCUCAUGGUCAUUUCAAUCAAUACCAUAUAUUCCCCACGAUGGAAUAUCUAGUCGUCAAGUCCACAUGCAUUCUCCAAGAUGACGUACCAAGUCUCUGAGGCCACGUGACUUCUCUAAGACGACCUACCUACUCAUCAACCCACGUACAUUGUUCAAGGUGGGAUACCUAGUCAUUGAGCCCACAUGCAUUCUCUAGGACGACGUACCAAGUCUCCGAGCCCACGUGCAUUCUCUAAGGCGACUUCUUCACCAAGAUGACAUACUUAAACAUUGGGUCCAUAUGCAUUCUCUUAGGCACUAGUUCACCAAGAUGAUGCAUUGAAUCACCGAGCCCACGUGUCCCUUUCACGAUGCCGUACUCAACACUGGACCCAUGUGCAUGCUCUAAGGCACUAGUUCGCCAAGAUGAUGCAUCAAAUCACUGAGCCCACGUGUCCUUUUAACGACGCCACACUCAAAUCAUUGAGCCCACGUGCAUUCUCUUAGGCACAUAUUCGCCAAAGUGAUGCAUCGAUUCACCGAACCCACGUGCCCUUUUAAUGAUGCCAUACUAAAACAUUUGGCCCACGUGCAUUCUCUUAGGCACUAGUUUGCCAAAGUGAUGCAUCAAAUCACCAAGCCCACAUGCCCUUUUUAUGAUGACAUACUUAACCACUACUCUACUAUUGAUACUAACAACCGAUACCCGAUCAUUUCUCAAUCAAAUAAUCAAAACAACCAAUUAGGAACAUAUCCUAAAAUUUCACAUUUAAAUAAUUCAGCACGAUUCGAAGCUCAAUUAAAUAAACGGACUGCACCACGACAAUCAGCAUAAAAUUCCUGUUAUCGGCUAUCACUAUCUAAUUUCCGAAAAAUAAAUAAUUAAUUAAUUAAUUUCGAAAAUUAAUAAAUAAAUACUAAAAAUCCAAUUUAGGCUUGUAAUGCCUAAUUGAAGCCCGAGAUGGGUCGGAAAAAAAUCCCGAGAUGCAUUCAAUAAAUAAUAGUACGUCUCUACUUGCUAAUUGCACAAUUCAAUUGCCUAACAUGCAUAUCAAUUAUCUUAUAAUCACUAAUCUACUCUAAUCUAACCACAUAAUUGCACUUAAUUAAAUCUAAUCAACCAUUAAGCAUAAUUAGUAAACUAAGCAAGGAUUAGUGAGCAAAGCUCAUCGGAUUAACGAUCCGUUCGGAUCAAUUUGACGGGGAUGCGACGAAGCUCGAUUCUUCUCAAAGCGGUGACACCAACGGAGCACAAAUCGGGCCCAAAACUUGGCCCGCAAAGCCCACAAUGCUGCUGGUUUUCCCUUGGCUAUUGGCUGUUUUGCAUGGCUGAUUUCGCGCGGAGAGAAGGGCUGGAUUUGCGGCUUCAACAGGCUGUUUCAGUGUAAUAGAAAGAAACAGCAAAGGAGGAGGAUUCGAGGGGGAUGGCUCGGUCUUUGAUCAAGCACAUGAAGAACCGAAAAAAAAUGAAGAACAAACGGG